rnacentral:rRNA from 1 species
AGCCUAACAGCUAGCUCACCCCCCAAAACACAACAACACACUAUUAAUAACCCCUAAUAACCUCACACACCCUAAACAAAUCAUUUUUCCCCCUUAGUACGGGCGACGGAAAAGGACAGAACGAAGCGAUAGCAGUAGUACCGCAAGGGAACGCUGAAAGAGAAGUGAAAGAAAUCAGUAUAAGCGCAGAAAAGCAGAGCUUAGAUCUCGUACCUUUUGCAUCAUGGUUUAGCAAGAAAAUAUCAAGCAAAGAGCACUUUAGUUUGACUCCCCGAAACCAAGUGAGCUACUCCAAGACAGCCUAUUAAGGGCGUACCCGUCUCUGUGGCAAAAGAGUGGGGAGAGCUUUGAGUAGAGGUGACAGACCUACCGAACUUGGUUAUAGCUGGUUGUCCAAGAAUUGAAUAGGAGUUCAGCCUUUUGCCCUCUCCCCCCAACAUCCCCGCACGCUUUAAGCGCCUGAGAAGACAAAAGAGUUAGUCAAAGGGGGUACAGCCCCUUUGAAACAGACACAACUUUCCUAGUAGGGUUAAAAUCAAACAACAGCAGGGAAUGUGUUUUUGUUGGCCUAAAAGCAGCCACCCAUGAAGAAAGCGUUAAAGCUCAUACACCCCCCCCCCCACCCAUUAUUUUGAUUAUAAUAUUUCACCCCCCUAAAACACACUGGACCUCUCCAUCCUCAUGGAAGAGAUCAUGCUAAUAUGAGUAAUAAGAGACCAAGACUCUCUCCCCGCACAAGUAUAAAUCGGAACGAACCCCCACCGAGAAUUAACGGCCUCAAGGAAGAGGGAACUGGAAAAUUAUGCAUAUACACUAGAAAAGCAUCCACACUAUAUUACCGUUAACCUCACACUAGAGUGCUUACAAGGAAAGACUAAAAGAAGAAGAAGGAACUCGGCA